AAUGGUAGUUCUUUUAGAUGAAAUAAAAUAAUGAUAAAGUACAAUUUUUUUAUGAUACGUGCCACAUUGGAUUUGACUUUAUCAAAUCAAAGUUUUGGUUUAUCUACUACUCUAGCCUACACCUAUAAAUACUAGGCAAGGAUUUCAUAUUUUACCACACCAAAAAAUAUUCACACGUGAAAGAGAGAGAAGAAAGAAAGAGAGAGAGAGAGAGAGAGAGAGAGAGAGAGAGAGAGAGAGAAAGAGGAAAGAGUGUGUGAAAACAGAAAUUUGUCAUACAUCAACUAUCACCGUCGAUCAAUAAAUCAUUCACAGAGUAGAGGAAGGAAUUUUGGAACGUACAUUCAAAUAUUUUUCGUGUACAUUUCGAUAACAAGGUAAGAUACAUUUAUGUGCAAAGUGUUUACGUUUCCUUAUGCUCUUAUAUGCGAUUAAAUAUACAUGGAAUGCUAGUGGACCUUCGGGUUCUAGAGAAAGAGAUAUGAAAUUUCUACAUGAAAAUUAAGAGGACCUAAGAUGGGUGUGUCGCUUGGUCACCGAUAUACUCCAUAAGAGAAGAGCGGUAUGAAGUGUAUUAUUUAUUUGUUAUAUACCUGUGUAUGGGAAUUUGCACGUAUCUUACUGGGUAUUUUUAAUACUCACUCUUACAUUAAUUUUUCAGAUUAGUUCGGGUCGAUUGGAACAGUGGAGAAUUGGUGAUGCG
rnacentral:lncRNA from 1 species